rnacentral:rRNA from 1 species
UGAGUAACCUGCCCUUCACUCUGGGAUAACUCCGGGAAACCGGGGCUAAUACUGGAUAUGACUCGAACAGGCAUCUGUUUCGGGUGGAAAGAUUUAUUGGUGGAGGAUGGACUCGCGGCCUAUCAGCUUGUUGGUGAAGUAAUGGCUCACCAAGGCGACGACGGGUAGCUGGUCUGAGAGGAUGGCCAGCCACAUUGGGGCUGAGACACGGCCCAGACUCCUACGGGAGCA